rnacentral:rRNA from 1 species
UACGGAGGGGGCUAGCGUUGUUCGGAAUUACUGGGCGUAAAGCGCACGUAGGCGGCUUUGUAAGUUAGAGGUGAAAGCCCGGGGCUCAACCGUGGAACUGCUUGGUAUACUGCUUUUCUUGAGCCACUUAGGGGCUGUCGGAACAAACGGUGGAGCGGUGAAAUGCGUAGAUAUCGUUUGGAACGCCAACGGUGAAAACAGACAGCUGGGAGUGUGCUGACGCUGAGACACGAAAGCCAGGGGAGCGAACGGG